GAUCAGCAUCAGACUGGACAGUUUCCUUUUGGUUCCCUUGAUGCAAAAUGUGCCUGUUGAGAAGGCAUCUGUUUAAGGGAUUACAGAGUGCAAAUGGUGAUGUGCAGAGACCUCUAGAGACCACAGCGCCUUACUGCACUUAAUCACAUGCAGAUAGGGCUCCGUGCCGAAGUCAUGACGUCAUCGGGAACGGUGAAACUGGCCAGAAAAUGAACAAGGUAACUAGCUAUAGCUUGAGAGGCCGGACUCGCAAAUGUCGCAUGGUUUGGGCUUUUCCCGCCCCCCUACCUCCACUUCUAAAUGAGUUAAUUAAGAUGAGAAAACUGAAUUUCAGAAAGAAGACACAACUAGUUCGCAGUUCCAAACAAAUAAGAGAUAGAAAGGAUGUGAAACCCGACUCCCUUGACUCCAAAUCCAGCCUUCUCUCCACUGCCUCAUAGUAAAUGUGUCUUCUUUGCAGAUGUGUAUUUGUGUAAACCUGUGUGUACAUGUUGGGAUACCAAAUAUAAGUAUUUUCCUUAACAGAUAUAUUUCUGAUUUGUCCAAAUAUCUUGAAGUUCUUUCAUCCUAACUUGGGAAUCUCUAAUCUUUCCAAUACCCCAAACCUGUCAAAAAACAAUUUUUUCCUUUACUCUUCUAUGACUUUUCACAGUUGCUUAAAAUCUCUUUUUUUCUUAUUGAAAUUAAAAAAAAAUUAAAGACAGACCACAGGAAGUGAUUGAGAUGGAAUACAACAAAAAGACUGUGUGACAUGGAACAAAGAUUCCAGCAGACCAGAUUUUGGGGACCAGGACUAAAGUUGCUACUCAGUGAUUAAGUGACCAAUUUAUCUUAUUUAAUUUGAUUCAACAUUUAUUGAGUAUCAAUUUGGGCAAGACACUGAGGCUAUCAAAGUGAAAAAAAUGGUCCAUUUCCUCUGAAAGCUUCUGAACAAUGUAGUACAUUAAAAAAAAAAAAAAGAGGAAGUCCAAGUGAAGAAGGAACAUGGAAUAACAGUGUACAUGGAGUUGGUUGGCCUAAGAGUAAGGAGGAACUUUGGCUCAAGUUCUACUUGGGACAAACAACGAUGGUCAAACCUUUUAUUUAUUGCCUUUGCAUUGAGGAGGACCCCAAUUUCAUUUCAAUAACCAAGAUAGGCUUUUGUCAAGUAACAAGCAAGCAGCAAUUUUUGAUAAACUUUGUAAAAUGUCAUUUAUUGAUGAAUUUUUAUAACUUUGCAUUUAGACGAAAUUGUGUUUUGCCUGUAUAAGUGGAUCUCUUUAGGAUCUGUAACAUACUGACUUUUUGGAAACUCUUUCCUAAAAGGCAAAAGGCAAAACACAUAAAAAAUGUUUUUGUAUAGGUGAGACCCUCGAGAAAAGUCCUGGAUUAGGUGUAUGAACUAAAUGUUCAAAAGUCCAGUUUUCUCAAGAUGACUUUUUUUUUUAUUGGAAAGAGUUU
ensembl:lncRNA